rnacentral:rRNA from 1 species
UACGUAGGUGACAAGCGUUGUCCGGAUUUACUGGGCGUAAAGAGCGCGCAGGCGGUCGAUCAAGUCGAGUGUGAAAGCCCCCGGCUCAACUGGGGAGGGUCAUUCGAUACUGAUCGACUCGAAGGCAGGAGAGGGUAGUGGAAUUCCAGGUGUAGCGGUGAAAUGCGUAGAUAUCUGGAGGAACACCGGUGGCGAAGGCGGCAUCCUGGACCGACACUGACGCUGAGGCGCGAAAGCUAGGGGAGCAAACAGG